rfam:Triticum urartu cultivar G1812 contig1168450, whole genome shotgun sequence.
CUUAUACUCCCUUCGUCCGAAAACACUUGUCAUCAAAAUGAAUAAAAAAGGAUGUAUCUAGACGUACUCCGUCUGAAAAUACUUGUCAUCAAAAUUGAUAAAAGGGGUGUAUCUAAGACGUAUUUUAGUUCUAGAUAUAUCCCUUUUUAUCCAUUUUGAUAUCAAGUAUUUUCGGACAGAGAGAGUAUGUU